AGCAGCCGCGGUAAUACCAGCGGUCCAAGUGGGACUCAAUUUUACUGGGUCUAAAACAUCCGUAGCCGGCUUUGCAAGUUUCUUGUUAAAUUAUUGCUCUUAAGGUAAUAGCUGCAAGAAAUACUGUGAGGCUAGAGACUGGGAGACGUAGCGAGUACAGCAGAGGUAAUAGUAAAAUAUGUUAAUCUUUGUUGGACUAACAAUGGCGAAGGCACACUACGAGAACAGAUCUGACGGUCAGGGAUGAAGGCCAGGGGCGCAAAACGGAUUAGAUACCCGUGUAGUCCUGGCUGUAAACGCUGCCUACCAAACAUCGUGAUCUCCUCGAGAGAUGGCGGUGCUGAAACGAAGGUGUAAGUAGGCUACCUGGGAAGUAUAGCCGCAAGGCCGAAACUUAAAGGAAUUGGCGGGGAAGCACUACAACGAGUGACGCGUGCGGUUCAAUUAGAUUCUACCCCGUGAACCUCACCAGGAGCGACAGCAGAAUGAAGGUCAGUCUGAAGGGCUUACCUGACACGCUGAGAGGAGUUGCAUGGCCGACGUCAGCCUGUGUCGUGAGAUGAUCUGUUAAAUCAGGUAACAGGCGAGACCUGCAUGCAUAGUUGCUCUUCGGUAAGAAAGCUACUCUAUGCAGACUGCUCCCGCAAGGGAGAGGAAGGUGCAGGCAACGUUAGGUGAGUACGGCCCGAAUCCCCUGGGCGACACGCGCGCGGCAAUGGUAGUAACAAUGAGUUGCAAUGCCGAAAGGCAAAGCUAAUCCCCUAAAUACUACCCUAGUUCAGAUUGAGGCUUGCAACCCAGCCUCAUGACGCUGGAAUUCGUAGUAAUCGGUUUUUAGCAGAGACCGGUGAAUAAUGUCCCUGCUUCU
rnacentral:rRNA from 1 species